GACGAACGCUGGCGGCGUGCUUAACACAUGCAAGUCGAGCGGUAAGGCCCUUUCGGGGGUACACGAGCGGCGAACGGUGAGUAACACGUGGGUGACCUGCCCUUAGCUCUGGGAUAAGCCUGGGAAACUGGGUCUAAUACCGGAUAUGACUCCAUGACGCAUGUUGUGGGGUGGAAAGCCUUGCGCGGCUAGGGAUGGGCCCGCGGCCUAUCAGCUUGUUGGUGGGGUGAUGGCCUACCAAGGCGACGACGGGUAGCCGGCCUGAGAGGGCGACCGGCCACACUGGGACUGAGACACGGCCCAGACCCCUACGGGAGGCAGCAGUGGGGAAUCUUGCGCAAUGGGGACGAAAGCCUGACGCAGCGACGCCGCGUGAGGGAUGAC
rnacentral:rRNA from 1 species